GAUUCGCGGCCUAUCAGCUUGUUGGUGGGGUGAUGGCCUACCAAGGCGGUGACGGGUAGCCGGCCUGAGAGGGCGACCGGCCACACUGGGACUGAGACACGGCCCAGACUCCUACGGGAGGCAGCAGUGGGGAAUAUUGCGCAAUGGGCGGAAGCCUGACGCAGCGACGCCGCGUGGGGGAUGAAGGCCUUCGGGUUGUAAACCUCUUUCAGCGCCGAAGAAGCUUUGGUGACGGUAGGCGCAGAAGAAGCACCGGCUAACUACGUGCCAGCAGCCGCGGUAAUACGUAGGGUGCAAGCGUUGUCCGGAAUUAUUGGGCGUAAAGAGCUCGUAGGCGGUUUGUCGCGUCUGCUGUGAAAAUUCAGGGCUUAACCCUGGGCUUGCAGUGGGUACGGGCAGACUGGAGUGCGGUAGGGGAGACUGGAAUUCCUGGUGUAGCGGUGAAAUGCGCAGAUAUCAGGAGGAACACCGGUGGCGAAGGCGGGUCUCUGGGCCGUUACUGACGCUGAGGAGCGAAAGCGUGGGGAGCGAACAGGAUUAGAUACCCUGGUAGUCCACGCUGUAAACGUUGGGCGCUAGGUGUGGGGCUCUAUUCCACGGGA
rnacentral:rRNA from 1 species